rnacentral:rRNA from 1 species
CAGCCGCCGCGGUAAUACGAAGGGGGCUAGCGUUGCUCGGAAUCACUGGGCGUAAAGGGUGCGUAGGCGGGUCUUUAAGUCAGGGGUGAAAUCCUGGAGCUCAACUCCAGAACUGCCUUUGAUACUGAAGAUCUUGAGUUCGGGAGAGGUGAGUGGAACUGCGAGUGUAGAGGUGAAAUUCGUAGAUAUUCGCAAGAACACCAGUGGCGAAGGCGGCUCACUGGCCCGAUACUGACGCUGAGGCACGAAAGCGUGGGGAGCAAACAGGAUUAGAUACCCGUGUAGUCCCUGUCUCUUAUAC